AUUGAACGCUGGCGGCAGGCUUAACACAUGCAAGUCGAGCGAGCGGCGGACGGGUGUGUAAUGCCUGGGAAACUGCCUGAUGGAGGGGGAUAAUUACUGGAAACGGUUGCUAAUACCGCAUACCAUCAGAUGUGCCCAGAUGGGGUUAGCUAGUAGGUGGGGUAAUGGCUCACCUAGGCGACGAUCCCUAGCUGGUCUGAGAGGCUGACCGGCCACACUGGGACUGAGUCAGGUACGAGACUCCUACGAGAAGCAGGGAUGGGGAAUAUUUCACAGUAGGCGAGAGCCUGAUGCAGGCAUGCGGCGUGUAUGAAGAGGGCCAUCGGGUUGUAGAGCACUAUCAGCGAGAGGGCGUUACUCGCGGUGAAGGCCCCGGCUAACUCCGUGCCAGCAGCCGCGGUAAUAC
rnacentral:rRNA from 1 species